CCCCCGGUAGCUCAGUUUGGUAGAGCAGCUCCCUUUUAAGGAGAUGGUCCUAGGUUCAAGUCCUAGCCGGGGGA
rnacentral:tRNA from 1 species